rnacentral:sRNA from 1 species
GCCGGGCACCGUGGCCCACGCCUGUCAUCCCAGCAACUUGGGAGGCUGAGGCAGGAGGAUCCUGAUUUGGAGGCCAGCCUCAGCCACUCAGCAAGACCCUGUCUCUA